rnacentral:tRNA from 1 species
CCGCCACUAGCUCAUCAGGACAGAGCAUCAGCCUUCUAAGCUGACGGUGCGGGGUUCGAGUCCUCGGUGGCGGA